rnacentral:misc_RNA from 1 species
GCUUGCUAGGGUGGUUGAUGAAAGAUAGCAAAAAUAACAUUGGAGAUUGAGGAUCCACAAAUAGCAUUUUUCUAUAGCUUCAUUGUGAGAAAUGACCAGCAACCUAGUUUGCUUUUCAGAGCAACACACCAAGGUAUAUCUCAAGGAUAUCUUUCAGGAUUAGGGGUUUGGUUUUGUUAAGAAACUGAACAAGAUUCAACUUAUUGUUUAUCAGUCAAAAAGUUUUGAAAUGUUACAUGCAUAAUUUCUUUCUUAAUUAACAGAAGAUAAAACAUUAAAGAAGCAUCUCCAAG